GGAGAGGUGCCAGAGCGGUUGAAUGGGCUUGACUCGAAAUCAAGUGAGGGUGCAAGUCCUCCCAGGGUUCGAAUCCCUGCCUCUCCGCCA
rnacentral:tRNA from 1 species